rnacentral:tRNA from 1 species
AAGGACUGUAGCUCAGUGGUAGAGCACCUGCUUUGCAUGCAGAAGGCCCGGGUUCAAUCCUCAGCAUCCUCA